AUUGAACGCUGGCGGCAGGCCUAACACAUGCAAGUCGAGCGAGCGGCGGACUGGUGAGUAAUGUAUGGGGACUGCCCGAUAGAGGGGGAUAACUACUGGAAACGGUGGCUAAUACCGCAUACUAUCGGAUAACCCAUAUGGGAUUAGCUAGUAGGUGGGGUAAAGGCUCACCUAGGCGACGAUCUCUGGCUGGUCUGAGAGGAUGAUUGGCAACACUGGGACUGAGACACGGCCCAGAAGCAUACGGAGGCAGCAGUGGGGAAUAUUGGACAAGGGGCGCAAGCCUGAGGCAGCCAUGCCGCGUGUAUGAAGAAGGCCUGAGGGUUGUAAAGUACUGUCAGCGGGGAGGCGUUACCCGAAGAAGAAGCACCGGCUAACUCCGUGCCAGCAGCCGCGGUAAUAC
rnacentral:rRNA from 1 species